rnacentral:rRNA from 1 species
GGGUCAGUAGGUUGGUCGUGCCACCGGUACGUACUGGUCUCACUGAUUCCUCCUUCCUGAAGAACCGUAAUGCCAUUAAUUUGGUGUUGCGGGGAAACAGGACUGUUACUUUGAAAAAAUUAGAGUGUUUAAAGCAAGCUAACGCUUGAAUACAUUAUCAUGGAAUAAUGAAAUAGGACGAUCGAUCAUAUUUUGUUGGUUUCUAGGAUUGACGUA